rnacentral:misc_RNA from 1 species
GCCCAUUGAUCUGAUAUCAGGAAGUCCAUUACCAAGUUCUACCUCACGCUUGAUUCUCCGAUGAUUUGAAUUAUUAGGAUCAAAGAAAUCGGUGAUACACCAUUCAUAAUUAGCAAAACAUUGGCCUGGCUUCAAAACUCGGAAUAUUUCCUUGUAGCAAUCAAACACGUUUGGGGCAUGACAUGUAGCUUCUAUGGCAAAAAUUCCAUCAAAACUGUCAUCCGCAAACGGCAUACUCAUGAA